CAGUCGCCGCGGGAAUACGGAGGGUGCAAGCGUUAAUCGGAAUUACUGGGCGUAAAGCGUGCGUAGGCGGUUCGUUAAGUCUGUUGUGAAAGCCCCGGGCUCAACCUGGGAAUGGCAAUGGAUACUGGCGAGCUAGAGUGUGUCAGAGGAUGGUGGAAUUCCCGGUGUAGCGGUGAAAUGCGUAGAGAUCGGGAGGAACAUCAGUGGCGAAGGCGGCCAUCUGGGACAACACUGACGCUGAGGCACGAAAGCGUGGGGAGCAAACAGGAUUAGAUACCCGCGUAGUCCCUGUCUCUUAUAA
rnacentral:rRNA from 1 species